UAAUAAGUGUUUUAUGGCACUUUUUUAAAUCCAUAUCCACCUUGUGUGCAAUGUCGGUCGUUCUCAUUUUUUAUGGGAGUGAUCAAACAUCAACUUAUACUGUAACUCUUUGUCUGAAAAAUAUUAUGAAUAAAGUAAUUCAAAAUA
rnacentral:misc_RNA from 1 species